UACGUAGGGUGCAAGCGUUGUCCGGAAUUAUUGGGCGUAAAGAGCGUGUAGGCGGCCCGAUUAGUCCGCUGUGAAAGUCCAGGGCUCAACCCUGGAAUGCCGGUGGAUACUGUCGAGCUAGAGUGCGGAAGAGGCGAGUGGAAUUCCUGGUGUAGCGGUGAAAUGCGCAGAUAUCAGAAGGAACACCUAUUGCGAAGGCAGCUCGCUGGGACGUAACUGACGCUGAGACGCGAAAGCGUGGGGAGCAAACAGG
rnacentral:rRNA from 1 species